UACGUAGGGGGCGAGCGUUGUCCGGAUUUAUUGGGCGUAAAGGGCUCGUAGGCGGUUUGUCGCGUCGGGAGUGAAAUCCACUGGCUUAACUGGUGGCUUGCUUUCGAUACGGGCAGACUGGAGGUAUGCAGGGGGGAACGGAAUUCCUGGUGUAGCGGUGAAAUGCGCAGAUAUCAGGAGGAACACCGGUGGCGAAGGCGGUUCUCUGGGCAUGUCCUGACGCUGAGGAGCGAAAGUGUGGGGAGCGAACAGG
rnacentral:rRNA from 1 species